ACAAGAACCAUCAGGCAUCUUGUCAUUUGCAGAUUCUGAUUUGGUAAGGUUUAAGAUUCGGCAUUUCUGACGAGCUCCCAGGUGCUGCUGAU
rnacentral:pre_miRNA from 1 species